GUUGAUUUGGCAGAAUGGAUUGUAAUAAAUUUAGAAUUUAAUAAUAUGACUGAUAGUCAUAUUCAACA
rnacentral:tRNA from 1 species